ensembl:lncRNA
CUACUAGGGUGCGUUGCGGCACAUCAACGGCACCUUUAUGACCUUUUGAGGUGCUGGACAAAGGCAGAAAGCCACGCACGUUGCCCCAGAUACGACCCAAACUGGUGGAAGUACAUUAUCUCCUGCAAACAAACGGAGGUGCCUCUGUCUGUACCCUGGGACAUCAGCAACUAGGUAGCGACUCAUGUCAACGUCCCCGAUGAACAGGCCUUCCAUCUGCUCUCAGACCUGCGCAGGAGACAUGAGUGGACAGGCAUUACCCGGACCCAUACCUGAUUGCCCUGCCACUAAGGAAUACACCCGGGGAGAAGUUCUCUGUGCAGGCUUCAGUAUCUGCGAGGAGUCCGACUCAGGAUCUCCUACUACAACCAGGCCACACCGGGAGUCCUCCAUUAUAUCUCCAACGACAUCGCAGGCCUUUCUUCCACCUUUCACUCCUGCAGCAAGUACCGAGAGGAGAACAGAGACAGCCUAGCCACCCUGCCCCCUUCUGACCUGUGACGAAAUGGUAUCAUCCUGAUCCCCUCUGUCCUGUCACACAUGGUACAGUCCUGGAAGCGCUGCCCCUUUGACCUAUGAUAGAAUGGUACCAUUCUCCUGGCCGCCUUGCACCACUCUGGCCUGUGAAAGAUGGUAUCACCCAGCACCCUUCUGCCUUGUUACUGAAUGACACCGUCCUGCUGCCCUGCACCCCUACCAAUAUGUGCACUUGGAAAGGACCAGGAUAGCUAGUUCCCUUUACACCCAUUCUGUACUGAGGAACAGCCUAACUCUUAUCAUUGGGAGACCUGAGAACGCCAUUUCUGGGAUAUCCCCCGACCCCAACUGCCAAGGAAAUCUGUACUUUUGCAUUUCUAAAAUGUGGGAUUUUCAAAUGUGGGACUAGUUUUGGGAUUACUAAUGUUUGUUACUCUCUUUGAUGUUACAUCAUGAUCUUCCAGACCAGUGUACAUUUCCACACUACAGGUUACUCUUAUCUCUCAAGACUGUCAGCUGGUGAACGUCCAUUUGUAUAAUAUUAUAUCGAACUCACCUCAUCUUUUGAUAUUAUGUGCAAUACUUAACAAUACUUGUGUUUAGUUAGGUCUUAUCCGGACAUUAAACAGUUAGUAGCCCUAUGAACAGGAGAAGUAUGCAAACUGGUUUGCUAUGCAGUUGUGUCUGACAUGUUUGUACAUGUUUUUGUCUCGUCUCUUGCUACCGAACUGUGGAUAAAAAAGCAGACUAGUUCAAGUAGGAGUAUUUACAUGCAAUUUGUUUUAUAAUAGGCUAUUUUCUACCUCCUUAAAUCACAUUCUUAAUCCACCAUUUGCCUUUCGAAUCAUGUAGUCGAGAUAUACAUCUACUGUAUUUGUGAUUUUGAUUUGGGAGACUAGUGCACUGUCUAAUCUCAGAAUGAGCCAAAUAGACUUUGCUUCACAACAGGUAUUUCAACACGAGACGAGGUGAAUAAAUAGCCAUGAUUUCACUCUAACAAUAAACACAAUAGACCAGAGACCCCUUUUGUUUGACCUCUCCCUUGUUCUUACUCCUUGUGGUUUCCUAAACAGCAUUAAAGAGAAAUACUACCCCCCCCCCCCCCCCCCCCCCCCCCCCCCCCCCCCCCCCCCCCCCCCCCCCCCCCCCCCCCCAAAAAAAAUAACUGUACAUGGCACUUAACCCUUGACAAGCGCUGCAAUGGCGGAUAGAUACCGGGGGGUACCAGAGGCGGUGACUAUAAGAUCUUCAUAGAUGCCUCUCAAAUGAUCAGUGAGCUUGCGAUGCUAUGUAGGUGGUGGGGGGAAAAGGGUCUGUUUUAACAUAUUUGAUACAUUAUGAUUAUAAAUGUCAUGUGAAGUAUCUAUGUUGGCUUCAUAAAGAGUUUCGAAAUCAUUCUGAAUGACAAUGAUGAGAUUAAGGUACAUUUAGAGGUAGAGAACAGAUACAAUCCACCUGUUGACCGUAGAGUACCUGUCCUCAAUGCAUCCCUCUGAGUUUCCAGUUUUCUCCUCGUCAGCGAUCACAGAGUUAUCCAGGGUCUUCAGUAACCAGAUGCUGUUGACGAUGCAGUGUCUGUAUUUACCCUUUAAGCACAGCGGGCUUUGUCGUAGAGGGUCAAUGCUGUGAGGUUAGGACGGCCUGACCGAUCCUCAAUGUUCUUCCUAGUCCCCAUGUUGUUAUCAUGGAGAAGCUGGAGUCAUCUCAGGCUGUCCUAGAACACUACGCCAGGCAUUGGAAAAGACAGAUGGAAAACAUCUAGCUCUGGUCCAGGGCGUUAGUGCUCGUUCCACCACUAGUGUACCUCAUGAACACUAGUGGAGGAACGUGUACUAAUGCCCUGGACCAGAGCUAGAAUGCAUCAUGCUCACAUUUCAUGUUCUGCAAAAUGUGGAACAAGUGUUCCACACGUCACACACAUGUUGUUUCACACAUUUAACACACAUGUUGUUACACAUAAUGUAAAACUCCUUUAAAAAAAGGUGUAGAAGUCUGACACAUCCAAAGCAUCCGUAAAACUCAAAAGCUGUGUCUCAUGACCAGAGCCCAAUGGGGCCUGUAUGGAACUAUAGUGAAUAAGGUGUCAUUUGGGACAAAAUGUUUAAGAGAACAAGAUAUUAGUCAUGACUCAUAAAUGUUAUAGUACGAUACAGAAUAUAAAUGGAUCACUAUGUUAAACAAUCACGUACACAAAAGAUAGAGACAGUAGCAUCUAGGUAUUGCGAAGGAAUACGAUAUACCACAUAAAUAUCACGUGAAUUGAGUCGUAUCCAGAGAGGUUGUCUGACCUCAAUGGGACUUCCUGGUUAAAUAAAGGUUAGGCUUAAAAAAAUGUAAGUACACGAUCUCCAUUUAGGUCCUAAUUAGGUCCUAAUUCAAUAGAUGUACACAUGCAAUAAGAGAAUCUAUCUUGGUUACGAAAUUGUCCACCAAGAUGCAUAUUCUAAAUGACCUGCAGCAUGCCCGAUUGUCCAGGUUUUUCAGCAGUAAGCUGCCAUAACGACCUGUUGAGGGUCAGUUUCAUUCUCUUCCUGUUCCAAACCUGCCCAUGGCUCAGUAUAAAGUCCUCUGGGCAUUGAGUGAAUCAUUUUCUCCAGGGGUAUUCAUAUUUUCCCUCUAAUUUGUUGAGAUAUAUUAUAGGCUAGUCGUGAAUAUUACAAUAGUAGUUUAGCCACAUUUGUUUGAAAUUACAUCUCACAAAAAGUUAAUAAAACCAAAAGUUGCCAAUAAAGAAAAGAUCCUACAAUGAUAUUAAAUAAAAUCAUGUUAAAUAUUUAGCUUUUUUUGUUGAGAAUUAGAUUUCUGAUAACAAUUAAGGUAUUCACUGCGCAGUGUUGCCAUCCCAGUGUCAGUGAACAUCAAUAUGUUUCGUGUUGUCAUGGCUACAAUUAAUAUGCACACCUUCAAAGGUUUGGCUUUGCAGAGGCAGAGAGCAAGCAAGGUGUGUUUCUCGCUUUGUUGUCACCUUCUAUCAAGUAAAAGACAAAGGUAUUCUCAUAACAUUUUGUCCAGUUUCAAUAAAAGACUACCAACAGCUGUAGGUAAUGGGGCUAAGGCUAUUAACCUGCCUGAAAGGAACGAACGGAUGACUAAAUGUUGAAAAGAAAUGUUUCUCUGAAUGUAGGCUAUGAAUUGGACUGCAUUCAUCAUUGAACCUUUAGCAUACACAUUUCUACAAGCAUCACAACUAGUCCUACACUAACUAGCCCAAUUGCUUUGGCCUGUUACAGCCUACGUUGCACAUUUUACACAUGGCAGCCCUGACCUGAGUGAGCAAAAACUUGAAUUGUAAAUCCAGUGUUGGGGAGUAUAGUUACAUGUAGCUAAACUAGUAAUUUAACUACAUCUUGCAGUGCCUUGGUGGUAGUUUAACUAAAUUCAAAUCCUGGUAGUGUUUUUAGUAAUAAAUUCCUUUUUUUGUGAUGUAGCGGUGUAACUACUGGACACUACACACUACUUAUUUUGCAAAAAAUAAAAAACAUAUGGGUGAGGUAGACAAUCAUUUGCUUUCUUUGUCGGCAUCAGACCUGACAUUUUUGUGUUCAUAGGCUUAAUUACACAUUCUGUUAACAUAUGACUCCAAAGUGAUCUGUUGUUGCAAUUUUGUAGUCUAUAUAUGACUCCAAAGUGAUUUGUUUUUGCAAUUUUGUAGUCUAUGACAUUGAAGAUUUAGAUAUGAUGAUUCAUCA